rnacentral:rRNA from 1 species
GUGCACGCUGGCGGUAGGCCUAACCCAUGCCAGUCGAACGGCAGCACAGUAAGAGCUUGCUCUUACGGGUGGCGAGUGGCGGACGGGUGAGGAAUACAUCGGAAUCUACUUUUUCGUGGGGGAUAACGUAGGGAAACUUACGCUAAUACCGCAUACGACCUACGGGUGAAAGCAGGGGAUCUUCGGACCUUGCGCGAUUGAAUGAGCCGAUGUCGGAUUAGCUAGUUGGCGGGGUAAAGGCCCACCAAGGCGACGAUCCGUAGCUGGUCUGAGAGGAUGAUCAGCCACACUGGAACUGAGACACGGUCCAGACUCCUACGGGAGGCAGCAGUGGGGAAUAUUGGACAAUGGGCGCAAGCCUGAUCCAGCCAUACCGCGUGGGUGAAGAAGGCCUUCGGGUUGUAAAGCCCUUUUGUUGGGAAAGAAAAGCAGCAGGUUAAUACCCCGCUGUUCUGACGGUACCCAAAGAAUAAGCACCGGCUAACUCCGUG